CCUACGGGUGGCAGCAGUGAGGAAUAUUGGUCAAUGGCCGUAAGGCUGAACCAGCCAAGUCGCGUGAAGGAAGAAGGAUCUAUGGUUUGUAAACUUCUUUUAUAGGGGAAUAAAGGUAUCCACGUGUGGAUCUUUGCAUGUACCCUAUGAGUAAACAUCGGAUAACUCCGUGCCAGCAGCCGCGGUAAUACGGAGGAUGCGAUCGUUAUCCGGAUUUAGUGGGUUUAAAGGGUACGUAGGUUGUUUUUUAAGUCAGCGGUGAAAGUUUGUGGCUCAACCAUAAAAUUGCCGUUGAAACUGGCAGACUUGAGUGUGUUUGAGGUAGGUGGAAUGCGUGGUGUAGCAGUGAAAUGCAUAGAUAUCACGCAGAACUCCGAUUGCGAAGGCAGCUUACUAAGCCAUAACUGACACUGAAGCACGAAAGCGUGGGGAUCAAACAGGAUUAGAUACCCUGGUAGUC
rnacentral:rRNA from 1 species